rnacentral:misc_RNA from 1 species
GAUGAAGAACGUAGCGAAAUGCGAUAACUAAUGUGAAUUGCAGAAUUCCGUGAAUCAUCGAGUCUUUGAACGCACAUUGCGCCCCCUGGUAUUCCGGGGGGCAUGCCUGUCCGAGCGUCAUUACAACCCUCAAGCCCGGCUUGUGUAAUGGGCGGCCGUCUCUCCCCCCGGGGGGAGACGCCCCCGAAACUCAGUGGGGAUGUCGCGAUACCGAAGCCUCAGCUAAUGGGUAAACCACAGCUGCAAUGGCCGCGGCCGGCGUCCGCCUUCCACGGUCCGUCCGCCUAGCGCGGGCUGCCUUCUCAAGGUUGACCUCGGAUCAGGUAGGGAUACCCGCUGAACUUAAGCAUAUCAAUAAGCGGAGGA